rnacentral:rRNA from 2 species
GGUUAAGUUAGAAAGGGCGCACGGUGGAUGCCUUGACACUAGGAGUCGAUGAAGGACGGGACUAACGCCGAUAUGCUUCGGGGAGCUGUAAGUAAGCUUUGAUCCGAAGAUUUCCGAAUGGGGAAACCCACCAUACGUAAUGGUAUGGUAUCCUUAUCUGAAUACAUAGGGUAAGGAAGACAGACCCAGGGAACUGAAACAUCUAAGUACCUGGAGGAAGAGAAAGCAAAUGCGAUUUCCUGAGUAGCGGCGAGCGAAACGGAACAUAGCCCAAACCAAGAGGCUUGCCUCUUGGGGUUGUAGGACAUUCUAUACGGAGUUACAAAGGAACGAGGUAGACGAAGCGACCUGGAAAGGUCCGUCGUAGAGGGUAACAACCCCGUAGUCGAAACUUCGUUCUCUCUUGAAUGUAUCCUGAGUACGGCGGAACACGUGAAAUUCCGUCGGAAUCUGGGAGGACCAUCUCCCAAGGCUAAAUACUCCCUAGUGAUCGAUAGUGAACCAGUACCGUGAGGGAAAGGUGAAAAGCACCCCGGAAGGGGAGUGAAAGAGAUCCUGAAACCGUGUGCCUACAAAUAGUCAGAGCCCGUUAACGGGUGAUGGCGUGCCUUUUGUAGAAUGAACCGGCGAGUUACGAUCCCGUGCGAGGUUAAGCUGAAGAGGCGGAGCCGCAGCGAAAGCGAGUCUGAAUAGGGCGUUUAGUACGUGGUCGUAGACCCGAAACCAGGUGAUCUACCCAUGUCCAGGGUGAAGUUCAGGUAACACUGAAUGGAGGCCCGAACCCACGCACGUUGAAAAGUGCGGGGAUGAGGUGUGGGUAGCGGAGAAAUUCCAAUCGAACCUGGAGAUAGCUGGUUCUCCCCGAAAUAGCUUUAGGGCUAGCCUUAAGUGUAAGAGUCUUGGAGGUAGAGCACUGAUUGGACUAGGGGUCCUCAUCGGAUUACCGAAUUCAGUCAAACUCCGAAUGCCAAUGACUUAUCCUUAGGAGUCAGACUGCGAGUGAUAAGAUCCGUAGUCAAAAGGGAAACAGCCCAGACCGCCAGCUAAGGUCCCAAAGUGUGUAUUAAGUGGAAAAGGAUGUGGAGUUGCUUAGACAACUAGGAUGUUGGCUUAGAAGCAGCCACCAUUUAAAGAGUGCGUAAUAGCUCACUAGUCGAGUGACUCUGCGCCGAAAAUGUACCGGGGCUAAAUACACCACCGAAGCUGCGGAUUGAUACCGAAUGGUAUCAGUGGUAGGGGAGCGUUCUAAGGACAGUGAAGUCAGACCGGAAGGACUGGUGGAGUGCUUAGAAGUGAGAAUGCCGGUAUGAGUAGCGAAAGACGGGUGAGAAUCCCGUCCACCGAAUGCCUAAGGUUUCCUGAGGAAGGCUCGUCCGCUCAGGGUUAGUCAGGACCUAAGCCGAGGCCGACAGGCGUAGGCGAUGGACAACAGGUUGAUAUUCCUGUACCACCUCUUUAUCGUUUGAGCAAUGGAGGGACGCAGAAGGAUAGAAGAAGCGUGCGAUUGGUUGUGCACGUCCAAGCAGUUAGGCUGAUAAGUAGGCAAAUCCGCUUAUCGUGAAGGCUGAGCUGUGAUGGGGAAGCUCCUUAUGGAGCGAAGUCUUUGAUUCCCCGCUGCCAAGAAAAGCUUCUAGCGAGAUAAAAGGUGCCUGUACCGCAAACCGACACAGGUAGGCGAGGAGAGAAUCCUAAGGUGUGCGAGAGAACUCUGGUUAAGGAACUCGGCAAAAUGACCCCGUAACUUCGGGAGAAGGGGUGCUUUCUUAACGGAAAGCCGCAGUGAAUAGGCCCAAGCGACUGUUUAGCAAAAACACAGCUCUCUGCGAAGCCGUAAGGCGAAGUAUAGGGGGUGACACCUGCCCGGUGCUGGAAGGUUAAGGAGAGGGGUUAGCGUAAGCGAAGCUCUGAACUGAAGCCCCAGUAAACGGCGGCCGUAACUAUAACGGUCCUAAGGUAGCGAAAUUCCUUGUCGGGUAAGUUCCGACCCGCACGAAAGGUGUAACGAUUUGGGCACUGUCUCAACCAGAGACUCGGUGAAAUUAUAGUACCUGUGAAGAUGCAGGUUACCCGCGACAGGACGGAAAGACCCCGUGGAGCUUUACUGUAGCCUGAUAUUGAAUUUUGGUACAGUUUGUACAGGAUAGGCGGGAGCCAUUGAAACCGGAGCGCUAGCUUCGGUGGAGGCGCUGGUGGGAUACCGCCCUGACUGUAUUGAAAUUCUAACCUACGGGUCUUAUCGACCCGGGAGACAGUGUCAGGUGGGCAGUUUGACUGGGGCGGUCGCCUCCUAAAGUGUAACGGAGGCGCCCAAAGGUUCCCUCAGAAUGGUUGGAAAUCAUUCGUAGAGUGCAAAGGCAUAAGGGAGCUUGACUGCGAGACCUACAAGUCGAGCAGGGACGAAAGUCGGGCUUAGUGAUCCGGUGGUUCCGCAUGGAAGGGCCAUCGCUCAACGGAUAAAAGCUACCCCGGGGAUAACAGGCUUAUCUCCCCCAAGAGUCCACAUCGACGGGGAGGUUUGGCACCUCGAUGUCGGCUCAUCGCAUCCUGGGGCUGUAGUCGGUCCCAAGGGUUGGGCUGUUCGCCCAUUAAAGCGGUACGCGAGCUGGGUUCAGAACGUCGUGAGACAGUUCGGUCCCUAUCCGUCGUGGGCGUAGGAAAUUUGAGAGGAGCUGUCCUUAGUACGAGAGGACCGGGAUGGACGCACCGCUGGUGUACCAGUUGUUCUGCCAAGGGCAUAGCUGGGUAGCUAUGUGCGGAAGGGAUAAGUGCUGAAAGCAUCUAAGCAUGAAGCCCCCCUCAAGAUGAGAUUUCCCAUAGCGUAAGCUAGUAAGAUCCCUGAAAGAUGAUCAGGUUGAUAGGUUCGAGGUGGAAGCAUGGUGACAUGUGGAGCUGACGAAUACUAAUAGAUCGAGGACUUAACCAU